AUAAUUUCCUGGCCUUUUGGCUAAGAUCAAAUGUAGUAUCUGUUCUUAUCAGUUUAAAGUAGUUAAGCUGACUUUGCUGAAGUACUCAUGCAAAGUGAACAUGC
rnacentral:snRNA from 1 species